rnacentral:rRNA from 1 species
CUGAAGGAGGGACGCAGUAGGCUAACUAAAGCGUGCGACUGGAAGUGCACGUCUAAGCAGUGAGGUGUGAAUUGAGUUAAAUGCUUAAUUCUGUAACAUUGAGCUGUGAUGGGGAGCGAAGUUUAGUAGCGAAGUUAGUGACGUCACACUGCCAAGAAAAGCUUCUAGCGUUAAUCAUACUCUACCCGUACCGCAAACCGACACAGGUAGUCGAGGCGAGUAGCCUCAGGUGAGCGAGAGAACUCUCGUUAAGGAACUCGGCAAAAUGACCCCGUAACUUCGGGAGAAAGGGUGCUGGCUUUGAGUCAGCCGCAGUGAAUAGGCCCAAGCAACUGUUUAUCAAAAACACAGCUCUCUGCUAAAUCGUAAGAUGAUGUAUAGGGGGUGACGCCUGCCCGGUGCUGGAAGGUUAAGAGGAGUGCUUAGCGUAAGCGAAGGUAUGAAUUGAAGCCCCAGUAAACGGCGGCCGUAACAAUAACGGUCCUAAGGUAGCGAAAUUCCUUGUCGGGUAAGUUCCGACCCGCACGAAAGGCGUAAUGAUUUGGGCACUGUCUCAACGAGAGACUCGGUGAAAUUUUAGUACCUGUGAAGAUGCAGGUUACCCGCGACAGGACGGAAAGACCCCAUGGAGCUUUACUGCAGUUUGAUAUUGAGUGUCUGUGCCACAUGUACAGGAUAGGUAGGAGCCAUAGAGAUCGGGACGCCAGUUUCGAUGGAGGCGUUGUUGGGAUACUACCCUUGUGUUAUGGCCACUCCAACCCGGUAGGUUUAUCAUCUACGGAGACAGUGUCUGACGGGCAGUUUGACUGGGGCGGUCGUCUCCUAAAAGGUAACGGAGGCGCCCAAAGGUUCCCUCAGAAUGGUUGGAAAUCAUUCGCAGAGUGUAAAGGUAUAAGGGAGCUUGACUGCGAGAGCUACAACUCGAGCAGGGACGAAAGUCGGGCUUAGUGAUCCGGUGGUUCCGUAUGGAAGGGCCAUCGCUCAACGGAUAAAAGCUACCCUGGGGAUAACAGGCUUAUCUCCCCCAAGAGUUCACAUCGACGGGGAGGUUUGGCACCUCGAUGUCGGCUCGUCGCAUCCUGGGGCUGUAGUCGGUCCCAAGGGUUGGGCUGUUCGCCCAUUAAAGCGGCACGCGAGCUGGGUUCAGAACGUCGUGAGACAGUUCGGUCCCUAUCCGUCGCGGGCGUAGGAAAUUUGAGAGGAUCUGCUCCUAGUACGAGAGGACCAGAGUGGACUUACCGCUGGUGUACCAGUUGUCUCGCCAGAGGCAUCGCUGGGUAGCUAUGUAGGGAAGGGAUAAACGCUGAAAGCAUCUAAGUGUGAAACCCACCUCAAGAUGAGAUUUCCCAUAACUAUAUGUUAGUAAGAGCCCUGAGAGAAGAUCAGGUAGAUAGGUUAGGAGUGGAAGUUGUGUGAGCAAUGGAGCGGACUAAUACUAAUAGCUCGAGGACUUAUCCGA